CCUGUUACUGCGUAAGAAACCAACCCGGAACUUAACGACGCACAACCAUGGCAUUCAACCAGAUGGAGACGCAGACAGCAAAUGUACCCCCCCAAAGUGGGGGAGCGUCAUGUAUGUCCAGGGAAGAGGGACUUACCACGGCCAUCCUUGGUGGCAAGUCGCCACGACAUAGAAGGACAGGCGAUGGUUCCGAGAACAGGCGACCGGCGCCCUCCCCCUCGCCAGUCCCUGUCUCCAUGCACUUAGCACCAUUUCUAAUUAAAUAUUCCUUUGACUGGU